rnacentral:tRNA from 1 species
UAAGGUGGCUGAGAAUAAGCGGUGGACUGUAGUUCCACAAACAGAGGAUGUAAGUCCUCUCCUUUC